UACGUAGGGUGCAAGCGUUAAUCGGAAUCACUGGGCGUAAAGGGCGCGUAGGCGGCGCGGGAAGUCCGUGGUGAAAGCCCGAGGCUCAACUUCGGGUCGGCCAUGGAUACUCCUGGGCUCGAGCACUGUAGAGGCAGGUGGAAUUCCGGGUGUAGCGGUGGAAUGCGUAGAGAUCCGGAAGAACACCGGUGGCGAAGGCGGCCUGCUGGGCAGUAGCUGACGCUGAGGCGCGACAGCGUGGGGAGCAAACAGG
rnacentral:rRNA from 1 species